rnacentral:rRNA from 1 species
GACGAACGCUGGCGGCGUGCUUAACACAUGCAAGUCGAACGCUGAAGCACCAGCUUGCUGGUGUGGAUGAGUGGCGAACGGGUGAGUAAUACGUGAGUAACCUGCCCUUGACUCUGGGAUAAGCCCGGGAAACUGGGUCUAAUACUGGAUGCUACAUGUCACCGCAUGGUGGUGUGUGGAAAGGGUUUACUGGUCUUGGAUGGGCUCACGGCCUAUCAGCUUGUUGGUGAGGUAAUGGCUCACCAAGGCGACGACGGGUAGCCGGCCUGAGAGGGUGACCGGCCACGCUGGGACUGAGACACGGCCCAGACUCCUACGGGAGGCAGCAGUGGGGAAUAUUGCACAAUGGGCGAAAGCCUGAUGCAGCGACGCCGCGUGAGGGAUGACGGCCUUCGGGUUGUAAACCUCUUUCAGCAGGGAAGAAGCCACAAGUGACGGUACCUGCAGAAGAAGCGCCGGCUAACUACGUG